UACGGAAGGGGCAAGCGUUGUUCGGAAUCAUUGGGCGUAAAGGGCGCGUAGGUGGCUCUGUGUGUCUACCGUGAAAGCGUACGGCUCAACCGUAUUUUGUCGGUAGAAACUGCAGGACUUGAGGCUGGGAGGGGCUGGUGGAAUUCCCUGUGUAGCGGUGAAAUGCGUAGAGAUGGGGGAGAACACUCGUGGCGAAGGCGGCCAGCUAGACCAGUUCUGACACUGAGGCGCGAUAGCGUGGGGAGCAAACAGG
rnacentral:rRNA from 1 species